rnacentral:lncRNA from 1 species
AGCAAUCCUCGACAAAAUCGGCUGUCUACAGACUAUCCUAAGCCUGAAAUGGGUGAGAAUAAGGGGUGAGUUUUUAUAAACCCAAUGAGUAAGCAAAAUUCAUCUAUAACAUUUAAAGCCGAGUAAAUGGAGACAGUUAAAUCAUCCUAUCAUAAUAUAGUUCAUAACAUUCAAAACUCGUUUCAAUUCCUAUAAAACAAUUACAUUUCAUCAAAAUAAUCAACAAGGCUUAUGAUUCUUUUAAAAAAUUAGCUUGUGCCAAAACUCAUACUCCGUGACACCUUGGCCCGGGCAUCCAACCGAGUCCACCAAGGCUAUUAAAACGAUAUAUACACAUAAAACAUGUUUUUACGUUUUAAAAAUAUAGUCGUUCCUUGGCGUUGGCUGAGUUUCACUUUCACGUGGUGGUUUGGUGUGAAGUGAACUCUAAACCUUACCUUAGGAGAUACCCUCCGCAUCUCUCGUACUAAGGUAAAAUAUAACGGGGUUUACCGUGCCCCUCUAAUAGGCUGGUCCACGGAAACCCGCCCACUGCAGUAAGCUAAAUACAUAACCCACCAAAUCAAUAAAAUUUCGGCAAUAUAACAUGGCUAAUAUAGUACUAUCCAACCUAUCAAUGUAAGGCAAAACAAUUUAUAUAAUUCACAAAACCAAAAUUUCAGCCAUUCAUGCUACCACAAUUUCAUAACCCAUCAAUUCAAAUCAUGUAUAUAUAUAUAAUACGAAUGUAUAGCCUCCACUUACUCUAUUUGGAAAAUCAACAUUUAGUUUUAGAAUAAUUUAUAAAUCUCAUUCAUUUAACCAACAUUUAAAAUGUAAAACAUAAUAAUUUACAAAUUAAGUGCCUUAUUCUUUAAAAUCUUAAAACAAGUAUAAACCACUUUAGAUAAUUAAGAUGAACAUCUAAUUACUCACUAUAAUGGGAAUUUGGAGUGGUAGGAGUACUCAUAUUCUCGAUCCUCAAGCAUGAUAUCUUUGCCCUUAUCGGGGGGUUCAGCACCUAUCCAUAAUACACGAUACGUAAUUCAAUACAUUGGUGUCAAAUUGUUAUAAAACUAUUUCAGACUCUAUAUGAAUGCAUGAAGUUGAAUGAGAAAUGCUCGAAUAGUCACUUAAAUACGGUGUUCUACGUAGGUUCAAUUGUGAUCAAAAGGAAUUUGUAUUCGACCUAAUUCGAGCUAUACACCAUUGAUUUAACCAAAACACCCAAUUUAACUCCAAAUAUAUUCAUUUCACUUCCAAAAUUUCAAAUACACCUAAGUACCUCAAUGAGCUUAAUUGUGACUUAAUUCACCGUAACCGAAAUUCAUUCCAAUUUCGAUAUCCAACAUCAUAAUUCAUCAAUUCCUAGCUAAAUAACAUGAAUUACAACCAAAUCUAUCAUCAACAUGCCCUAUAGAAAAUUCGGCCAAAUGAGGGUGGUUGAAGAACAUGUGAUUUUCUUGCUUGUUUUUCCUUCCAAACAUCACAAAAUGACUAAAAACACUAGGAUAUCAUGAAAUCUAGCAAAAUUCAUCCCCAAAACUUCUCUCUCUAGGUUUGGCAAGCAAAGGUUCCCUCUUGAAAACUUAAAUUUCAGCCAUGGAGAAUGAAAAAGAAUGCAUGGGAAAGGUAGAUCACAAGCUAAAAUUAAAAAAUCUUACCUUUACUUGCUUGAUUCCUUGAAAUCCAACAAUUUCUCUUGAAUUUUUCUUUCCUAGGGUUUGUUCUUCUCUUUUUCUCUUUGUUCCCUUGCUUGGUCGGCCAUAAGGGUGUGAAUGUGAGGGUUUUAAGUGAGUUUAUAUAGGCAAUUAAAAUAAUAUUAAAGCUUGACACUUGUCACCUUUUAAUUAGUCCAUGUUUAAUAACUUAACAAUUAAGCAUUUCAUUCCCACCACAUAUAAUCUCACUUGAAAAAAUAAUGGGUGAAAUUCAUGGGUUUGACAAGUGUCAUGGUGGUGUAAAAUUUCAAAAAUUCCAAUUACGUCCUAGUGGACACAUAAAAUGACCGUUUUGCCCCUAUGUUCGAAAAAUGUCAAUUAAAAUUUUUCACUUCUCAAAUUCAAAUAAUGCUCUAAUUAAUCAAAUUUAGUCAAAAUAUCAUCCAACAUUCCAAUUUUACCCUUGGGUGGCAAAAUGACCAUUUUGCCCCUACGUUAUGAAAAUUCUCGAAUUAACUCCAAAUCAAUCCUCAAACUCCAAAUCACCAUAUUAAGACAUUCUAAGGUUCAAUAACUCUCAAAUGCAUCCUAAAAUAUGUAUUCAAGCUAGUUCGAGGUUUUAAUCGGCUUAAUUGUACCUCUAGGUACGAUACCGACUUUUAAUAAUUUUUCGAGGCAUCCAAGUAUGCAGACAUGUUAUCAAGUACAUGAAUGACAUGGCAAGUAUAUUAUAGAGCUGGGCUUGACAAAACCUCACGGUUCCUCUUGAUUGUGUGCAAAAUCAAGCCUUUCCUUCCUUUCUCUUUUUUCUUUCUUCUUUUUCUCCUUGGGUGAUGACUUAGCACAAACUUACCCUAAUGAACCAAUCAAAAGACAUGCAUUCUUAUUCUUCUUAUAUCAUUUGGCCACUUUGCCAUCUAAUGGUGCUUCAUGCACCAAUUUCCUUCCUUGUGCAUUGGCCCAAAAUCUAUCUUUAUUCUCUUUCCAUCCGCCACCUCACUCUCUCAUUCUUUCUUUCUUCAUUUUUUUAUUCCAUGCACCACCUUAUUCCUCCAAUCACAUUUCAUGCACACACUUUACCUUAUAUUUUAUCUAAUCAUUCAUUAAAUUAUUUAAGUCACAUGCACCCCACAUCUUUCUUUCCUCAUUUGGCCACCUAAUGCACCAAUCUCAUUUCAUGUAAAUAAAUUUAAGCUUAUUUUUCAUUUUACUUCACAUGGUGGGGGUCUCACAUGUUCCCCAUUAAGUUCCUUCUUUUUGCAUGCUAUAGUUUGCAUGUAAUAGUGAAUUUACAUGCACCUCUCAUUAUCCCACAUAAUUUAACUUCUUUGGUUAGUUAAUGUCUAUUUAGUUUCAAAUAUUGUAAUUUCACAUAAGUUCUCAACUUUUCCUUAUUUACCAUUCAACCCUUCAAACUUUUCAUCCAUUACAAUUGAGUCCUCAAUCCUUUCUUUUAAAUUCCAAUUUCCUUCUAUCUUUCUUCCUUUACCCUUGUACAAAUAAAAUAUCAAAUUUGCACUUCACCAAAAUGUCACCAUAAUAUUUAAAUAUAUACUUACCCACUCUUACUUUAUUAAAUAAAGGAACACGGGCCCCGCUUAUGUCAUUUUUCUUUGAAAUUCUUUCAUUCUUCUUCUCCUCCACUUAGAUUAGCCAUAUAGUCCUCCUUCAUGACUAAUUUCAAAAAUAGAUAAAAUAUUAAUAUUUUAAUAUUAUUUUAUUUUAAAAUUUUCCACUUCUCCUCGAGACCCAAAAUGUCUCACUUUGUCCCGGUUCACUUCUAAAUCACCUUUUAACUCGUUAAUUUAUCCUCGAUAAAAGUAUUAUUGUUUAAUUAUUAUUUUAAAAUUAUUUCCUCGCAUAUGGAAUAAUUUAUUCUAAAAUAUUCUUUUCGCCCAUCACCACUCUUUCACAUUUAAAUUUAUGUUAAUUGACCCUUUGUCUUAUCGAUAAGGUCGUAGUGCCUUCUAUGCGAAGGUACGGGGUGUUACGGUUUGCCCCACUUAAAUAGAAUUCAUCCCCAAAUUCACGUCGGUGUCGGUUAUUAAUCUCACUUCGUAUUUCAUUUCCUUCUUCAUAGAGAAUUUGAUUUACUCACUUCGUUUACUUUCAAUUCAACUAUAACACUUUACCAAGUUAGGGUCUGUAACUUACACCUUUUAUCAUUCUUGAAUCAAAACAACAGUACCCUUCAACAAUUGUUUUCUCUUACAACUAAGUUUCCAAGCAUGCCUUUAACUCCAUUACAAAUCUUAAACAUAUCUCAAUCUCAAUGUCAAACCUUCUUCUAUAAAAUAAUUAUGACGUCAUUUACAUGCUCAAUAGAAUGUUUGCAUAUUUAGGAAGUUCAAGAAAUCGUUAAAAGAUGAUAUUGCCCUAAUGGUACCAUUAAGUCAAUUAAGGCUCAAACUAAUUCAAAUAGGAAUUUUAAUGUGAAAUUAAGAGUUUCACAGUCUAGGAAUGAUUUAAAAUGGUGAUUUAGAGUUCGAGGAUCAAUUUGGAGUCAAAUCAAAAUUUUCACUAUCUAGAGCUAAAAUGGUCAUUUGCCACUUGGGGACAAAAUGAGAAUUUUUAGAAAAGAUUUUUUGGCCCCAUUUGACUUAUUGGAGUAUGAUUUGAGUAUUGGAGUAUGAUUUGAGGUUUAGAAGUGAAAAUUUUUAAUUUCGGUAUAAUUUGGAGUAUAAAGGUAAAAUGGUAAUUUUGCCACCUCGGGGGUAAAUCAAUAAAUUUUCACCCCCGACACUUGUCAAGAUCAAGGAAUUUUAUUCAUCAUGAAAAUGGAUAAACAUGAGAAAUGUGUGGUGGAGAAUUAAAGAAUUAAAAGUCAAAUAUUUAAAAUUUGAACCAAUAAGAAAAUGCCAUGUGUCAUGCUUUUAUUAUUUUAUUAUUUCUUUAUAAAAAGGCAUAAAAAUCAGCCCAUUUCUCCCAUAGUGAUCAGCCAAACCAGAAAAGAAGAGAAACCAAGGAAGAACAAACCCUAGGUGGGAAAAAUCAAAGAGAAAGUGUUAGAAUUCAAGGAUUUGAUCAAGCAAAGGUAAAAUUUCUUGAUUUUGACUUGUGAUCUACCUUUUCCAUGCAUUUCUCCUCAUUUUUCAUGGUUAAAUUACAUGUUUUCAUGAUGAAUUCAUGGCUGGUUGGAAUGGGUAUGGAGAGAGAGUGAUGUUAGAUUGAUUUGAUUUUAAGUUAUGUUAGUGUUUUUAGUUAGUUAAGCAUGUUUAGAAACAAAACAACAAGAAAAGAAUCCAGUUUUCCCAUGAACCUUCAAUGGUCGAACCCUAUGUGAAGUGUAAAAGUAAUGAAUUGAUUUUGUGAUCAAGUGAAUUGGCUGAAAAAUUGAUGAAAUGAUGAUUUAUGGUGAGAAAAUGGAAUAGGAAAACUUUUAGUGAUAAUGCACCACAAUGGCCAAAAUUUUCAAGAAGAAUUGUGAGGGUUGUUAGGCUGAAUUUUAGAUUAUUGAAAUUUUAUUUAGUGAAUUGAAAUAUUAGAAAUGAAAUGGAGCAAUUUGGAGUCAAAUCAGACACAAUUGUCAUUUAAUCGGGUAAUAGGCCAAAUUAGGUUAGCACCGCAUUUAAGCGGUAGUCGAAUAAGUUGCAUAUCAUAUCAUGCAUAUACACCGAGCCUGAAUUGAUUUUAUAAUGGUCAAGCAUUGAUGUGGUGAAUUAUGUAUUGUACAUUGUGGAUAGGUGGUGAGAAAAUUACACUGGUAAAAGUACAGAGAUUGUGCUUGGAAAUGGGGAUUAGGAGUACAUCGACUCUUAGAACUGUGAGUAAACUUAUUAUCGUCUUAAUUAUCUAGAGUAGUUUUAUACAAUUUUGUGAUUUUAUAGAAAAUGGGUUUAAAUGGUAAAUUGCUAUGUUUUAGGAGAAAUUGUGAUUUUAUAAAAUGAUUUUAUAAAUUUUCUGGAAAAUUGAAUACUGGUUUUGAAAAUAGAGUAAUUGGAGACUGCCUGUUUGUGUUAUAAAUUGUGUUUUAAAUUAUAUGGCUUAUAGCAAUAUGUGAGCAUGAAUGGCAAAGUCGGUAUUUGUAUCAAAAUUAUAUAUACUACAUAUUCAGCCUUGAGAGGCUAGAUUGCAAUAAAUUGCCAUGUCAUGCAGAUAAAGAUUUUAUAAAUCAGGUGGUAGAUAAAAUAAUCCAUAGUCACUGCAAUGGUGGGGGUUUUCGUGGACUGCCUAUGAGAAAGGCAUGGUAACCCAAUUAUAUAUUUACCUUCAGGGGGAGAUGUUGGAUGAAGUAUCUCCUGAGGUAAAGAUUUGCGUGCACUUCACGUGGACCACCGCGUGAGAGUGAGACUCAGCCAACACCAAGGCAUGGCUAGAAUUUCGAAUGUAAAGACAUUUAACAGCCUUGGUGAUCUCGGUCAGAUGCCUAGGCCAAGGCAUCCCUGGAAAUGAUUUUGGCAGGAGCCAAGUUUUGUGAGAUAUAUAAGCCAUGUUGAUUAAUUGAGUAAACUGAAUAUUCAUGUUAUGAAACAUAUAUUGGAAAAGAAUAUUUUAAUUCGUCUCCAUUUACUCGCCUUUAGAUAGUUUAAAUGGUGUAUGUUUACUCACUGGGAUUUUAUAAUCUUACCACCCUUAUUUCCUCACAUUUCAGGCUUGGAGAAUUCCAUAGUUAGCUGACUUUGACAAGGACCUUUAUUUGGACUUGAAUCGGCAAAAAUUGUAGGUUUUCAGCUUCCGAUACAUUUUUGUUAGAUGUGGGCCCAUGUGUCACUGUAAAAGUAAUUUUAUGCUUUGGUUAUUUGCUUUAUAGUAUAUAUGAAUAUAAUUAACUUUUACGUUAUAAGAAUUAUUUACCGAUAGCUUUAUAAAAAUUAUUUUACUAGAAAAUAGUUUAUUUUAUUGAAUAUUUUUAUUAUAUUCAAAUGGUCAAAUUUUCACUUCAAAUGAACGUUUUAG